UACAGAGGGUGCGAGCGUUAAUCGGAAUUACUGGGCGUAAAGCGCACGUAGGCGGCUUGGUAUGUCGGGUGUGAAAUCCCCGGGCUCAACCUGGGAACUGCAUCCGAAACUGCCUUGCUAGAGUAUGGGAGAGGGAAGUGGAAUUUCCGGUGUAGCGGUGAAAUGCGUAGAUAUCUGGAGGAACACCGGUGGCGAAGGCGGCAUCCUGGACCGACACUGACGCUGAGGAGCGAAAGCCAGGGGAGCAAACGGG
rnacentral:rRNA from 1 species